UCAACCCCUUUCACCCUACUGAGAACUUCUAUAACAUUAUAGAACCUUUAAUGUUAAAACUAGUAACAAGAGAUACACCCUCUCUAUAAUGCAAACUCAAACCAGCAAGAACCUAUCACUGGUGAUUAACAGAAACAAAGUAGUAACUUUCUCAAGAAAACUCUACCCCCUCAACUGUUAACCUAACACAAGAGCAUCCCAAGAAAGAUUUAAAGAAAAAGAAGGAACUCGGCAAACAUAAAUCUCGCCUGUUUACCAAAAACAUCGCCUCUUGUCACCUAUAAGAGGUCCAGCCUGCCCAGUGACUCUUGUUCAACGGCCGCGGUAUCCUAACCGUGCGAAGGUAGCGUAAUCACUUGUCUUUUAAAUAAAGACUAGUAUGAAAGGCACCACGAAGAUUAAACUGUCUCCUCUCUCCAAUCAGUGAACCUAAUCUCCCCGUGAAAAAGCGGGAAUUUUUAUAUAAGACGAGAAGACCCUAUGGAGCUUAAAACAUCAUAACACUGCACCUCCACAUUAUUAACCCCACAGCACACUGAUUAUAUGUUUUCGGUUGGGGUGACCGCGGAGAAAAACCCAUCCCCCGCGAUGAUGGGGAACCCCCCCCCCCACAAUAAGUCACAACUUUACGUAUCAACAAAUUGACAUUAUUGACCCAAUAUAUUGAUUAACGAACCAAGUUACCCUAGGGAUAACAGCGCAAUCCACUUUGAGAGCCCCUAUCGACAAGUGGGCUUACGACCUCGAUGUUGGAUCGGGAUACCCAAGUGGUGCAGCCGCUACUAAAGGUUCGUUUGUUCAACGA
rnacentral:rRNA from 1 species